rnacentral:tRNA from 1 species
GGCCCCAUCGUCUAGUCUGGCCCAGGACACUGGAUUUUCAGUCCAGUAACAGGGGUUCAAAUCCCCUUGGGGUCA